UCCGGUGACGAUGGCGAGAAGGUCACACCCGUUCCCAUCCCGAACACGGUAGUUAAGCUUCUCAGCGCCGAUGGUAGUUGGGGAUUUCCCCUGCGAGAGUAGGACGUUGCCGGGC
rnacentral:rRNA from 1 species